CUACAGUGUCCCCAAUUUGGACCCUUUGCUCAUUUUUCUUGCCUUCAUGGCUAGUGGGAAAGGAAAUAAGAGACACUCAAGGUUAAAGCACUAGCCAGUUCCAUACAUUUGAAACUGUUGGGGAAAAAAUGCAGAUUUCACUAUUCGGACAGGACGUACAUCUAUUCCAAGUGAUAGGUAUGACACUUCUUAGUCUGGAGAUUCCCUGCAGCAAAGAUCAACAGCUGCAACCUGACGAUCCCUAAGCUCUCUUCUAGGCCCCUUCAGUUACUGGAAAGCUGUAAGCUCUCCCUGGAACCUACUUUUUUCAAGGCUGAACAACCCCAACUCUCUCAGCCUGGCUUCACAGGAGAGGUGUUCCAAUCCCCUGAUCAUCUUCAUGGCCUUCCUCUGGACUCACUGCAGUAGCUCCUUCUUAUGUUGUGUGCCUCAGAGCUGGACACAGUA